rnacentral:rRNA from 1 species
AACGAACGCUGGCGGCAGGCUUAACACAUGCAAGUCGAGCGCAUCCUUCGGGGUGAGCUGCGGACGGGUGAGUAACGCGUGGGAACGUGCCCUCUUCUACGGAAUAGCCUCGGGAAACUGAGAGUAAUGCCGUAAAAGCCCGCAAGGGGCAAGAUAUAUCGGAGGAGGAUCGGCCCGCGUUGGAUUAGGUAGUUGGUGGGGUAACGGCCUACCAAGCGGACGAUCCAUAGCUGGGUUGAGAGGAUGAUCAGCCACACUGGGGGGGAGACACGGCCCAGACUCCUACGGGAGGCAGCAGUGGGGAAUCUUGGACAACGGGGGCAACCAUGAUCCAGCCAGGCCGCGUGAUCCAUGAAGGCCUUAGGGUUGUAAAGAUCUUUCAGCUGGGAAGAUAAUGACGGUACCAGCAGAAGAAGCCCCGGCUAACUCCGUG